GUUUAAGUUUGUGGUCCUUCCCUGGCACCUCCAAUUAGCACGGUUGACUGCGUACGGUGCAAAAGAAGUUCAACAUACACACCUAGCCAUUCAAUACGGAGCCUGAGCCGUCGAGCCAAGUGGUGAGUAGUAGUGGUCCCAUUCCACGUGCAUCUUGGGUCAACCUUCCCAUCUGUGAGACUAAAACCGGGACUGUGUGACGAGUGUAGCGAUUGGCGCGCUGCGCUACGGCCGCGCUAGAAUUAACAGCACUUGCCUCAAAAAUCUAUGGAGGCUAUGCGGGUGACCUUUGUCAUUGUCCCUGGCAGGCGCGCUGUCACGGGCCAAGGACACACAGAAGCGGCGUGCGGCCGGCAGGGCGACGAACGGCCGAGCCAACACGUGCUGUGCGUGUGCAUGGCGGAGGAGCUGGAGGUGUUGAGAGCCGGCGAGCGGAAUCUUCAAGCGAGCUCUCGCCCUCUUCCUGGAGGGGCAGCUCGCCUUCCACCGGCACGUGGUCAAGGAGCUGGAGGAGUGCCUGCAGGCCCUGCGCGUACGAAUGAACGCACGCCGUCGUAGCCCCGUCUCGUCCGGGCGGCGCGUUUUGGGCCUCAACCGUCGCGGAGAUUCGCACUGCGAGCACCAAGGGCCCGCCCUUGGUCAACACGGGCGGGCGUACUCUAGCGUCAAUAUAAAUAUGCAACCAUUGGUACGUUCCGUGACAUUGUUUAUUAAAAAAAAAGAUUAGGGCCACUGUGAUUCCGGCGCCGCGGUCCAAAAUUGAGAAAAUUUGAAGAAAGCUGAAAUGUAAUAAAUGUUUGAAAUACGUAGCAGCAUGGCCACCCCCAACUGCAACACUUUGCCAGGAGUCUCAGUGAGGCUUUCCCGUGGAAAUACAUUUUAAGAAUAUUAAGACACAACGAAUGAUGCGGCCUGAAUGGCUCACUGGCCCAAGUAGCCACGUAAAUGGCCCGAGGCGAGGGCCUGCCGAGAUUCUGGGUUUGGGCCACGCCGUUUGCCCAGUGGCUAUCGCAGUCGUGACCUACAUUCGGGUAGUGUCAGCCGAGUCACCUAGGCUCCCCGUCCACCCUCGAUGCUAUUCUUGUUGUCCUUCCCCCGCACCUCCGAUUAACACGGUUGGCUACGUACGGUGCGAAAGAAGUUCAACGUGCAGACACGUGCAUGCUCCCGAAUUCCUCUCCAACAGGCAUAACAUUGCCAAUAGCAGGUUGAAUAUUGUACACGAGGCCCAAUUUAGGUUGGUUCGAUUCGCGCGACAGCAAGUUCAAUUAUCAAGCGGCAUCAGUGUACACGGGGCAGGAAUCUGGGGUACACCAUGUAUACAUUUCUGUGCCUUUACAAAGACAAAGAUCCCCCGUAUAGCCUUAACAGACUGUUGGGGCAAUUGCUGCUAGCGAGCACCUAUUCAAGCAGAAAGGGCACACAAGGGGGUGGGGGGGGGUGAGCACCACCAUGCCCGGCCGCCUUUGUCCCUGUUAUUACCGCAGUCACGAGCGGCGAAUCGAACUCGGGUCGCCGGAUUUGUAACGCGAGUGCGCUAACCGCUGCCACCGCUCCCCCACAGAACACGCACGCGCGCACACACAGAAGACAGACUUCAGGUUUAGAAAAAAAUGACUGCACAUUUAUUGCUACCAAUGUUAUAUACACAUGACAGUUGAUGCAACUGUAGCCAAAAAAAAAAUGAAAAAAAGAAAAUAACAAUUUAAAAAUA